rnacentral:rRNA from 1 species
GACGAACGCUGGCGGCGUGCCUAAUACAUGCAAGUUGAGCGAUGAAGCUUGGUGCUUGCACCAAUUUGAAGAGCAGCGAACGGGUGAGUAACGCGUGGGGAAUCUGCCUUUGAGCGGGGGACAACAUUUGGAAACGAAUGCUAAUACCGCAUAACAACUUUAAACAUAAGUUUUAAGUUUGAAAGAUGCAAUUGCAUCACUCAAAGAUGAUCCCGCGUUGUAUUAGCUAGUUGGUGAGGUAAAGGCUCACCAAGGCGAUGAUACAUAGCCGACCUGAGAGGGUGAUCGGCCACAUUGGGACUGAGACACGGCCCAAACUCCUACGGGAGGCAGCAGUAGGGAAUCUUCGGCAAGGGACGGAAGUCUGACCGAGCAACGCCGCGUGAGGGAAGAAGGGUUUCGGAUCGUAAAACUCUGUUGGUAGAGAAGAACGUUGGUGAGAGUGGAAAGCUCAUCAAGUGACGGUAACUACCCAGAAAGGGACGGCUAACUACGUG